AUGACAUCAGAGCCAGGCGGACCGCAGUCGGACACAUUUCUAACCGGCAUGCAUCUCGCGGUGAUCAUCGGUGAUCGGUUCUGCGCAGAUUUUGCUCAUCUCAAACAAGCCUAUUUUUUCAACAGGAAGUUGAAUUAUCCAGAUCUUCUGAAGGCAGUGGGGAGACCAAAGAGUGCUAAUCCACCACUAAGUGCUGCAGAGAAGCAGCGAAAGAUACAGGAAGGACCUACUGCAGAAGUCUUAUUAGAAAGGGUCAGUAUGUUUUUAUGAAUUGACUGUAAUUCUAGCUUAAACACUGUUAGAUGUACUUUCUGUAAUUGAACAUUUUUUGUUUGACCUCAGGAUCCAGAAGCACCCUCCAUGGCAUGCUGACGGACAGGACAUAGUUCCACCACAUUCUCAAUCUCUGUUUUCCUUGUUUCUCUCCUCUUUCCAUCUCGAAUGUGAUGAACUACAUGGACAUAACACAUUCCUUCAGACAUCUUUCUCUCACACACAGGCUAUGUACACACAUGCACACACACACAAACGCACACAGAGUGUCUGGAUGUUCAUUCCUGUGUCUAGGUGUUCAUUCCUGUUACGCACUGUUCAUUCCUGUUAUUAAAUUGUUUUGUUCUAAAAAAUUAAGUUAAACGACUGUUUUUUUUUUUCAUCUGUGUUAUGUUAAUCAUUUAUCCAAUAGUUUACUUAAUAACAUGACUUUAAAAAUUAUAAUCCUUUAGUUUGGGUCUCCUGUAAAAUAAAAAAUGGCUUUGCUUUUUUUUUUUAAUUACA
ensembl:lncRNA